AUUUAUAGCGAACACCCACAUGAGUUGGCUUUGCGCUAAUGGGAAGCACAAGCGUGGCAAGUCAAGGGAGUUGCGCACGCUCAUUUUUCCGGUUGCUGACUAGGCGAAGCUCUCGGUUUCAGUCAACGCAAAAGGCCGACCUAACUGAACUCGUGAGCAGUGGUGAACAGGCUGCCGCAAUCCCUUUUAAGUGGCGUAUGCCCAAAUCAAUCAUCUAUAUUCUACUGUAUGUCAUGCUGUACCCGCGUUAGACGGCGAAAGAAAAAAAUAAAAAAAGUGCCAUUUAGCAGAGCUGGACAAUUACUUGACAUUUAAGAUUUAAUUGCGGGCAUGCAAGAGGCUAUGUGAAAAGUUUUGAAUAGUCGAGUUUGAAGCCAAUGAAUAAUCACUUUAUGAAUUGUGAUUUCAAUCUCAUAAUUUCAUUCAUAGUGGAGGGCUACCCUUUAUUGCAGGGGUGCUCUGUUGGAUGCAUGUACGAACCCAAAGCAAAAUAACUGACCUUUUGAAUUACAAGUAUGGGUCCUUGACAGUUUU